CGGCGCGAGCAGGUGCGAAAGCAGGUCAUAGUGAUCCGGUGGUUCUGAAUGGAAGGGCCAUCGCUCAACGGAUAAAAGGUACUCCGGGGAUAACAGGCUGAUACCGCCCAAGAGUUCAUAUCGACGGCGGUGUUUGGCACCUCGAUGUCGGCUCAUCACAUCCUGGGGCUGAAGUAGGUCCCAAGGGUAUGGCUGUUCGCCAUUUAAAGUGGUACGCGAGCUGGGUUUAGAACGUCGUGAGACAGUUCGGUCCCUAUCUGCCGUGGGCGCUGGAGAACUGAGGGGGGCUGCUCCUAGUACGAGAGGACCGGAGUGGACGCAUCACUGGUGUUCGGGUUGUCAUGCCAAUGGCACUGCCCGGUAGCUAAAUGCGGAAAAGAUAAGUGCUGAAAGCAUCUAAGCACGAAACUUGCCCCGAGAUGAGUUCUCCCUGAGACUUAGAGUCUCCUGAAGGAACGUUGAAGACGACGACGUUGAUAGGCCGGGUGUGUAAGCGCAGCGAUGCGUUGAGCUAACCGGUACUAAUGAACCGUGAGGCUUAACCUUACAACGCCGAAG
rnacentral:rRNA from 1 species